AACCUUCUCUCCUGUUUAAAUAUACUUUGGAGGCUGGCGCAUGAAUCUUCAUUCACAAAAGGUAUCAACAGUAUGACUGUGGAAGUUCCAUUAUUCUUGGGAGUUAUGUCCAGCAACACAAACCAAUCAUGUCCAGCAUGUACAUUGGAUCUGCUAACUUUACUUUAGGAUUCCUAGGAUUUCAAAAGUUCAUCAUGUUCAGGAAAGAAGACAUUUUACUUGGUAAAUGAAGGAGAGAAAAAUUGCAAGGGAGGAGGUGUAUAGUUUACAUGGUGCAUUUUUUAAGUACUAUGACUAGGGUGAAGAUGGGGAUUUCACUUGGAUAACUGAGGCUUGGUUAACUGAGGAACAGAAACAACACAUCUCUGUGGUCUCCAUAAACAGAUGAUUAACAGAUUAUUAAUAGCUGGCCAUACCAAGUUUGAACCUGACCACCCCAUUUUGGAGUAUAGAAGAUAGCACAUUCUGUUCAUCAGUCAAGGAAACAUAUACACAGCCUUCUACAUAUUGUCCAGGAUCAGAAGAAGCCAGUGGUGUUUUAUAAUUGAAAACCUCAGUGACAUCUCUUCAGAAUUUUUUCUAGACCUUUGAAAUUUUAAACUAAAAAAUCAUAACAUGUAUAUCACAGAGAGAAGACUAUCCGUUUUUUUAUUUAUUUUUUUUUUUUUUCUUUAUUUUUAUUUUUAUUUUUUUUUUUUUUUUUUUUUGAAAAACAUCACUUUAAAGUAUGUGAGUGUCCAUAUUAUUUGUAUUCUAAUAAAUUAAAAGUUCUGAAAAAAAUAAAAAGACAUACCAGAAAUAUUCAUGUAUAUUACCAUUGAAUAGAUGAAAAAAAAAACCCUGAUCUUUUAAAUUUUUAAGCUGUACAAAGUUAUCAUUCCAGGAAAUUAAAGAAAAAAAAAAUGUUGAUGCAUCUAUACUCACAUUAAAAACAUUUUAAUUUUUU